GAUGAACGCUGGCGGCGUGCCUAAUACAUGCAAGUCGAGCGAACGGACGAGAAGUUUGCUUCUCUGAUGUUAGCGGCGGACGGGUGAGUAACAUGUGGAUAUCCUACCUAUAAGACUGGGAUAACUUCGGGAAACCGGAGCUAAUACCGGCUAAUAUUUUGAACCACAUGGUUCAAAAGUGAAAGACGGUCUUGCUGUCACUUAUAGAUUGAUCCGCUCUGCAUUAGCUAGUUGGUAAGGUAACGGCUUACCAAGGCGACGAUGCAUAGCCGACCUGAGAGGAUGAUCAGCCACACUGGAACUGAGACACGGUCCAGACUCCUACGGGAGGCAGCAGUAGGGAAUCUUGCGCAAUGGGCGAAAGCCUGACGGAGCAACGCCGCGUGAGUGAUGAAGGUCUUCGGAUCGUAAAGCACUGUUAUUAGGGAAGAACAUAUGGGUAAGUAACUGGGCGCAUCUUGACGGUACCUAAUCAGAAAGCAACGGCUAACUACGUG
rnacentral:rRNA from 1 species